GAACCCCGCAGCCCGACUCCCCUCGGCCCUCCUCCCCGCCCGCCUCUCCGCCCGCAGCUCCCCGGAUCCUCCUCUUCCUUCUCGGGACGGUUUCGCAGACGCCGCAGACAUGACGAGGAAAUUUUUUCCCCUCCCAGUGACCCUAGAAGUUUUUCUCUUUUUUUUUUUUUUUUUUAAACAACUUCCAGCCCGGCCGCCGAGGAAGGAAGCGGGGGAAUACGCAGCGCACACCGCCUCCGGCUGCUGCGUACCGCGCUGUCAGCGCCCAGCACCGCCCCACGGCAGCCCCGGUGCCGGGGGGGGGAGAGGGAAGACGGCGCCUCCGGGGGCAGGGAGUGCCGCGACGCCGGGGAAGAGCAGGACAAAGAGAGGAAGCUGAGGGGCUCGGGGCCUGCUCAGCCCCCACAUGCCCAGGGGGUGCAUAUGUAUGCGUGGAUGAAGGCGAAGCCGACGACAGCGGGCUGCUUCUGUGAAGUACUGAGCCCUCCUGGAGCUAAGGGGACUUUAAGAAGUGCUCAAUAUCCUUCCAGCUUUGGCUACCUCAUAAUAUGGCCUUUAAUGUAUGCACAACCUAUUUUUAGAAUCUAUAACGUGUUUUCUGGGUAAAACACUGCUUGAAAGACCCCCUCCUCUCCCUCUGAGUUGACAUUGAAUUUGAUUUAAUAGAAGAGCCUGAAAUUCUUUCCAUUAAAAAGUGCAUUAUAAAUGCUCAAGGAGCUGUAACUGCAGUUGAAAGCUAGGUAUAUUCCUGCCAAAGGGUAAACUAGCUUCAUCUAAUAGGAGAAUAGUUCUAGUGGAACAAUUUACCCUUUAUGAGUGUUUUUCCUAAAGACAGCAUAGGAAGUAUGUCUUCACUGUGCUUCCAGCAGAGCAAAAUAAAUUAAAUACACCUGCAGGUUACUGAAAAAAAAAAACCACUGGCAUUAAAAUAUGCAAGACAAUUUAUCUGCAUUUUCAGACUCUUAGCCUACUGAGUCAACCAAGUGGGCAAUAAAAGUCCACAGUGCUGGGAUUUGGUACAGCUUGUAAUGAUCCCGUGUAUGGCCUAAGACUGCACAUUCGUAUUGCACGUGGAAGAAGAAAGCCUUAAAGUGCUCAGCAAUGACAAGCAUUAUAAUUCUGACUCUGCAGAAGGGGAGACAGAGCCCCAGAGCAGAGAAAGCAGCUUGCCUAAGCCUGCAGAAAGAGGCUGUCUUAGAGGUUGAAAUAUUUGCAGCACUUGGCACAUGGACUUGUAUGCAGCCUUUAAAGAACAUACUGUUUUGCGGGGAGGGGAAAUCACAUUGCAUAUUUCCAUCAGAACUAUAAAUGCAAAAGUGAGCAAUCUGCACAAGAAGAGGUUGUGGCUUUUUUUUAAGUAUCAUGGUGCUCAAAUGUUCUUCUAUGCUUUUCCUCUUUACUGUGAGUAAAUAUCAUCCAGCCUAAAAACAGUAGGCUGAGCAUAAUAACUUCAAGCUGGGCAUUUUUUUUUUGCUACUGUUGUUAGCAACUGGAACAAAUUCUUCCUUUGCUCUCCCUGCACCACCCUAGGAGAAGCAACUGGCUUUGUUUUAGAUGCUGACAACUCUGUCUGUGCCCCAAGUAGCGACGAGUCUCACUGAAAGCAUACGAGCCAUCCAGCUGAACCACAGUACCCUGCUCUUGAACUUCAUUUUAAGGGCACAUAAUGUUAAGGGCUUAGCUAUGUGAAUAUGGAGUCCUUCAACACCCGCUCAAGGCAAGGAGAAGUACUCAAUGAAAGAAAUACAUACGGAAGUUGCAGCAACAAGAAUGCCGAAUAUGAAAGAAAUGCAGGAUUGGAUCCUGAGCCUGAUGAACAGAACAGGAAGGUUCUCUGCAUCUGAGCAUUUUGGAGUGAUGUCACUACACAAAAACAGCUUCAUCAGUGCAAAUCUUCAGGGAGCUCUGACUGCACCACUGUACAGACUAGGAAGGAUCUAAGGAAGACACAGGCAUCUGCAUAGAUUAAAAAAAAGAGAUGAAGAUCCUGAUAAGAUCUACGGGGAAUAAGAAAACAGACAAGUCUAUGGCUUCAAAAGCACAGCAGCUUUCUUGUCUCUAUUGCUGCACAGAAAAAUCAAUGCCAGGGCUCUGUCUCCUCCUGUCCUAAAAGGAUGCAAGAAACACAAAGGCAUAACAGCCUAACUAACAGCCAUCUGCUUGGGGGAGCUGUCAGCGGGAUGAUUUGCAAUAUGUGAUGGACUGAAGCAAGCAUGUCCUUCUGGCAGGUGGGGCGGCCAUAGGCUUUUGUUCUUGCCUUGGCUGGGCUCACAACACUACCUUUUUUUGAGCUAGAAGUUGAGCAACUUCUCUCUUCUGAGUGGCUUCUCAGUGGGAACACUGAGUGCCAAAAAAACCAAACACCUGUCUCCAAAGUUGUUAGGAACAUAAGUAUUUUGCAUAUAGCAGCUGAGUCAAACAAGGGAAACUCUUUUGACUUCCUCUCCUCCCCAGCUUUCAUUUGAAAAAAGUGUGUGUGGGGGGAGAGUUUCAACUGCCUCCUAAUUGUUCCUCACUUCCUGUCAAAAGAUCUGAACUAAAUCCCAGGAAACUUGUCAUUCCCUGUCUGAAGCAGAGUUCAGGAGAACAAUAGAUGGCUAAAAUCAAUGGUUCCACAGCAAAGACUUGUUAAAAUGUCGCUUGAAUAUAUCUGAAAAGAUAAUCUCUGUGAAUGUCUCCCUAUUCAAAUCUUGCACAGAUUUCCUCUAGUAGCAGAAGACAUAAAAGAAGUAGGAGAUUUGAGAAAGAUUUACUUGAGAAGAAUGUCAAGUGUCAUAUCUUAUUUUCCUCUCUCAUUGCUGACGCUCAUUUGAAUCUCCCAUUCAGCACUGGGAACAUCCGAGUUAUCAGCUGUUCCCACUCAUUGAGA
ensembl:lncRNA